CCGGGAGUCGCCGCCCCGGAGCGGGCGCGCGGCGGCCGUGACACGGCAGAGGUGGAGGACAUCUGCGGUCUGGUGAUCCGCGCGGUGAAGGAUCGUCUACCCGGACUCGACAUACGUGAAGAGGACAUAGAUCGGGCGCAUAGGCUGCCCGGUCCCAACCACCGCGUGAUCGUCAGAUUCGUCCAGUCCGGACAGAACAGCGUCCGGGACCAACUGAUGACCCGGAGACUGGAGCUGCGACACCACAACGACCUCUUCAUAAACGAGAGCCUGACCGCCCAGAAAAGCACCAUCUACCGCUCUCUCUUGGACGCGAAGAGGGCCAAGAAGUUGUAUACCGUCUUUACCAGGUGGGGGCAUGUUUAUUUUAAAGCCGAGAAGUUCGGCACGAGUACACGCGUAGAGGACACUGGUAAACUGCGGGAACUCGGGUUCGCGAUUAAGGAGUAGGUUAUGCUAUCUCUGAACCUCCUCAGUGUUAAGCACUCGAGCAGUAGCCUAGUUGUAGCAGUGUGGUCAACGUUCUUAGUUAAUUCAACAUUAUUUGCAUUCUGUUGUAUUAGGUUGUCCAUUACGUGUCUUACUGUGUUUUCCUUCGAUGCCUCUCGUGUCACGAUCCCGUUACGAGCAUUGUGUGAAAUGAUACCAUUUUAUGUUACCCUUUUGUGUUCCUGUUUUUCUCUCGGUUGCUCAUGUGGGUACUGUAUGAUUUUUAUGCGCGUUUUUGUCCUUUCUUUUGUCUUUUUUCAUCCUUUGUUUUUCUUUCCCAUUUACUUGGCCGCCCUGAGGCAACAAUCGCCUAUGCGUGUAUACGUACGCGUGUGUGUGUGUACUGUGUACAGUACAGAAUCCUCGCCUCAGACGGAAGCACUUGCCGCGCGCUCCACAAAUGGCAAAUCUGGGCAACUUGCGUGUGCCGUUCUUUGUGACAGGUGCCGUUGUGAAGAUGACAGAUGCAGUUUUGUGAAGUCUGAUUGUGAGCGCGCCUAUAUAAUGUAAAAUAUACAUGAAAAAAAGAGAACAGUCAAGCGUCCUUCGGGCCUCGUCUGGAAAAAAUAAGGCGGGUCCGGCACCGCCCUGCCGCUGCUCUGGCGUGGGACGGCGCUGGACGGGCGCCGCACCACUCCACUCUCACUGGCGCCUGCAGCCGCCGAGCCGCCGCGCCGCCGGCACCUCGCAGUUUUCCCCAUUCAGCCGGCAGUGGGCCACUUGGCCAGGCCGCCGGCGCUCCGAGUGGCGAGCCGGGGAACAUGCAGCACGCGCUGCGUUAGAAAUGUGACCCUGGGUCGGGUACCGGCAAAAACGCCUCGCUACCCGGGCAUCGUCGUAAACAGGCGGCCGUGGGAAUUGAUGGUCAUUAC